rnacentral:rRNA from 1 species
ACCAGACUCCUACGGGAGGCAGCAGUGCGGAAUAUUGGGCAAUGGGCGUAAGCCUGACCCAGCAACGCCGCGUGAAGGAAGAAGGCUUUCGGGUUGUAAACUUCUUUUCUCAGGGACGAAGCAAGUGACGGUACCUGAGGAAUAAGCCACGGCUAACUACGUGCCAGCAGCCGCGGUAAUACGUAGGUGGCAAGCGUUAUCCGGAUUUAUUGGGUUUAAAGGGUGCGUAGGCGGAAUGCCAAGUCAGCGGUAAAAUCGCGGGGCUCAACCUCGCUCCGCCGUUGAAACUGGCGUUCUUGAGUGGGCGAGAAGUAUGCGGAAUGCGUGGUGUAGCGGUGAAAUGCAUAGAUAUCACGCAGAACUCCGAUUGCGAAGGCAGCAUACCGGCGCCCAACUGACGCUGAAGCACGAAAGCGUGGGUAUCGAACAGGAUUAGAUACCCCUGUAC